rnacentral:rRNA from 1 species
GACUGUAGCAAUACAGUUGCUGGCGACCGGCAAACGGGUGCGGAACACGUACGCAACUUACCCAUAACUGGGGGAUAGCCCGGGGAAACCCGGAUUAAUACCUCGUAACAUCAUGCAGUGGCAUCACUAUAUGAUUAUAGCUCCGGCGGUUAUGGAUGGGCGUGCGCCUGAUUAGGUAGUUGGCGGGGUAACGGCCCACCAAGCCUGCGAUCAGUAACUGGUGUGAGAGCACGACCAGUCACACGGGCACUGAGACACGGGCCCGACUCCUACGGGAGGCAGCAGUAAGGAAUAUUGGUCAAUGGACGCAAGUCUGAACCAGCCAUGCCGCGUGAAGGAUGAAGGUCCUCUGGAUUGUAAACUUCUUUUAUAUGGGACGAAACCCGGGCAUUCCUGCCCGAUUGACGGUACCAUAGGAAUAAGCACCGGCUAACUCCGUGCCAGCAGCCGCGGUAAUACGGAGGGUGCAAGCGUUAUCCGGAUUCACUGGGUUUAAAGGGUGCGUAGGAGGGUAGGUAAGUCAGUGGUGAAAUCUCCGGGCUCAACUCGGAAACUGCCGUUGAUACUAUCUGUCUUGAAUACCGUGGAGGUGAGCGGAAUAUGUCAUGUAGCGGUGAAAUGCUUAGAUAUGACAUAGAACACCGAUUGCGAAGGCAGCUCACUACACGAAUAUUGACUCUGAGGCACGAAAGCGUGGGGAUCAAACAGGAUUAGAUACCCUGGUAGUCCACGCCCUAAACUAUGGAUACUCGACAUACGCGAUACACUGUGUGUGUCUGAGCGAAAGCAUUAAGUAUCCC